GCUGGGCACGGUGGCGCGUGCCUGUAAUCCCAGCUACUCAGGAGGCUGAGGCAGGAGAAUCGCUUGAACCAGGGAGUCGGAGGUUGCAGUGAGCCGAGAUCACGCCACUGCCUUCCAGCCUGGCAACAGAGGGAGACUCUGUCUCAA
rfam:Pan troglodytes isolate Yerkes chimp pedigree #C0471 (Clint) chromosome 14, whole genome shotgun sequence.